UCGAUGGGAGCUUGCUCCCUGAGAUUAGCGGCGGACGGGUGAGUAACACGUGGGCAACCUGCCUAUAAGACUGGGAUAACUUCGGGAAACCGGAGCUAAUACCGGAUACGUUCUUUUCUCGCAUGAGAGAAGAUGGAAAGACGGUUUACGCUGUCACUUAUAGAUGGGCCCGCGGCGCAUUAGCUAGUUGGUGAGGUAAUGGCUCACCAAGGCGACGAUGCGUAGCCGACCUGAGAGGGUGAUCGGCCACACUGGGACUGAGACACGGCCCAGACUCCUACGGGAGGCAGCAGUAGGGAAUCUUCCGCAAUGGACGAAAGUCUGACGGAGCAACGCCGCGUGAACGAAGAAGGCCUUCGGGUCGUAAAGUUCUGUUGUUAGGGAAGAACAAGUACCAGAGUAACUGCUGGUACCUUGACGGUACCUAACCAGAAAGCCACGGCUAACUACGUGCCAGCAGCCGCGGUAAUACGUAGGUGGCAAGCGUUGUCCGGAAUUAUUGGGCGUAAAGCGCGCGCAGGUGGUUCCUUAAGUCUGAUGUGAAAGCCCACGGCUCAACCGUGGAGGGUCAUUGGAAACUGGGGAACUUGAGUGCAGAAGAGGAAAGUGGAAUUCCAAGUGUAGCGGUGAAAUGCGUAGAGAUUUGGAGGAACACCAGUGGCGAAGGCGACU
rnacentral:rRNA from 1 species